rnacentral:piRNA from 1 species
UCUACGAGAGUCUGAAUAUUGUUGACAA